GGUGUUUGGAACAGAGAGCAUUCCGUUGCCUUUGACCUGGGAUUCGCCCAUUAGAACGGCUGGACAACUUGACCUUGGUGACUUGAAGGACCCGACUCCCCUCGUGGUGCAUGUUGUCAUUAAAAGAUCAGGACUAAAGGUGCUAAAUGGUGCUUGGUUCCGGGAGCAUUUCAUUGGCUUUGAACUGCGAUUCCUCCAUUAGAACGGCUGGAUAACUUGACCUUGGUGACUUGAUGGACCUGACUGCUUGUGGCAUACGUUGUCAUUGCAAAGAUCAGGACUGAGGGUGUUGGUGCUUAGCAGCGGUGUGGCAGAGGAGAAAUUAUGAACCUGCACCACAGGAGCCGAGAACUGGAGGUGGGCAAACUGGUCCGACUCUACAGCCGGCAGCGGAGGAAGGGGUGCUGCGCGAAACUGGACAGCCGCUGGGUAGGCCACGGUCAAGUGCUGGAGCGACUUGGGGAGGUGAUGUACCACACAGCAACCCCCCCCUCCA